rnacentral:tRNA from 1 species
GAGGGUAUAGCUCAGGAGUAGAGCACGUGCUUAGAAUGCACAUGGUCCUGGUUCAAUCCCCAGUACCUCCA